rnacentral:piRNA from 1 species
UGCCUAUUGUGAUUGGUGUUAGAUCU